GAGUCGGCCUGCGCGGAAGAUGUAACGGGGCUAAACCAUGCACCGAAGCUGCGGCAGCGACGUUUAUGCGUUGUUGGGUAGGGGAGCGUUCUGUAAGCCUGCGAAGGUGGCCUGUGAGGGUUGCUGGAGGUAUCAGAAGUGCGAAUGCUGACAUAAGUAACGAUAAAGCGGGUGAAAAGCCCGCUCGCCGGAAGACCAAGGGUUCCUGUCCAACGUUAAUCGGGGCAGGGUGAGUCGACCCCUAAGGCGAGGCCGAAAGGCGUAGUCGAUGGGAAACGGGUUAAUAUUCCCGUACUUGGUGUUACUGCGAAGGGGGGACGGAGAAGGCUAUGUUGGCCGGGCGACGGUUGUCCCGGUUUAAGCGUGUAGGUGUGUGUUCCAGGUAAAUCCGGUUCACUUUAACACUGAGGCGUGAUGACGAGGCACUACGGUGCUGAAGCAACAAAUGCCCUGCUUCCAGGAAAAGCCUCUAAGCAUCAGGUAACAUCAAAUCGUACCCCAAACCGACACAGGUGGUCAGGUAGAGAAUACCAAGGCGCUUGAGAGAACUCGGGUGAAGGAACUAGGCAAAAUGGUGCCGUAACUUCGGGAGAAGGCACGCUGACACGUAGGUGAAGUGAUUUACUCAUGGAGCUGAAGUCAGUCGAAGAUACCAGCUGGCUGCAACUGUUUAUUAAAAACACAGCACUGUGCAAACACGAAAGUGGACGUAUACGGUGUGACGCCUGCCCGGUGCCGGAAGGUUAAUUGAUGGGGUCAGCGCAAGCGAAGCUCCUGAUCGAAGCCCCGGUAAACGGCGGCCGUAACUAUAACGGUCCUAAGGUAGCGAAAUUCCUUGUCGGGUAAGUUCCGACCUGCACGAAUGGCGUAAUGAUGGCCAGGCUGUCUCCACCCGAGACUCAGUGAAAUUGAACUCGCUGUGAAGAUGCAGUGUACCCGCGGCAAGACGGAAAGACCCCGUGAACCUUUACUAUAGCUUGACACUGAACAUUGAGCCUUGAUGUGUAGGAUAGGUGGGAGGCUUUGAAGUGUGGACGCCAGUCUGCAUGGAGCCGACCUUGAAAUACCACCCUUUAAUGUUUGAUGUUCUAACGUGGACCCGUUACCCGGGUUGCGGACAGUGUCUGGUGGGUAGUUUGACUGGGGCGGUCUCCUCCUAAAGAGUAACGGAGGAGCACGAAGGUUGGCUAAUCCUGGUCGGACAUCAGGAGGUUAGUGCAAUGGCAUAAGCCAGCUUGACUGCGAGCGUGACGGCGCGAGCAGGUGCGAAAGCAGGUCAUAGUGAUCCGGUGGUUCUGAAUGGAAGGGCCAUCGCUCAACGGAUAAAAGGUACUCCGGGGAUAACAGGCUGAUACCGCCCAAGAGUUCAUAUCGACGGCGGUGUUUGGCACCUCGAUGUCGGCUCAUCACAUCCUGGGGCUGAAGUAGGUCCCAAGGGUAUGGCUGUUCGCCAUUUAAAGUGGUACGCGAGCUGGGUUUAGAACGUCGUGAGACAGUUCGGUCCCUAUCUGCCGUGGGCGCUGGAGAACUGAGGGGGGCUGCUCCUAGUACGAGAGGACCGGAGUGGACGCAUCACUGGUGUUCGGGUUGUCAUGCCAAUGGCACUGCCCGGUAGCUAAAUGCGGAAGAGAUAAGUGCUGAAAGCAUCUAAGCACGAAACUUGCCCCGAGAUGAGUUCUCCCUGAGACU
rnacentral:rRNA from 1 species